rnacentral:rRNA from 1 species
AUGUCUAAGUAUAAAUGAAUACACAGUAAAACUGCGAACGGCUCAUUCAAACAGUUAUAGGUUAUUUGAUAUUUCGGAUACUUCCAAUAUGGAUACCCGUAGUAAUUCUAGGGCUAAUACAUGCGUUGCGGGGGACUUCACGGAACCCCAGUAUUAUUAGAUAUUCUUAAACCAUCAUUCCGCAAGGUCUACUGAGAUGAUUCAUGAUAACUAGUCGAAUGCCGGUUCGUACCGGCAUAUGUCAUUCAUGUUUCUGCUUCCCAUCAGCUUGAUUGUAGUGUAUUGGACAACAAUGGCAUUCACGGGCAACCGGGGGAUUAGGGUUCGAUUCCGGAGAGGGAGCCUGAUAAACGGCUACCACUUCUACGGAAGGCAGCAGGCGCGAAAAUUAUCCAAUCCUGACUCAGGGAGGUAGUGAGACAAAUAAUGAACUGGGAUUAUUUUAUCCUGGGAUCACAAUGGGCUUGAUUUGCAAACUUGAUAUUAGCGAGGAACAAUUGGAGGGCAAGUCUGGUGCCAGCAGCCGCGGUAAUUCCAGCUCCAAUAGUGUAUAUUAACGUUCCUGCAGUUAUUCGAUGCUCGUAGUUGGAUUUCUGGGGGUCGAGACAGGAGGGCGGCUAUGGCCGCCACCAGUCUUUUCCCUCGUCCGCCUGUUAACGGCGAUCGAGAUUGAAUUCUCGACGCCGGGCUCAGGCACUUUGAUUUAAUUCUCUUGAGCAAAUUAUAGUGUUUCAGGCAGGCGUGCGCCGGAAUACUUUAGCAUGGAAUAAUCUUACGGACCGUGUGUGGGUUCGCCCACAUUUCCUUAUUUGUUGGUUUCUCUAUUUUAAGGACACGGAAUGAUUAAUAAGGGAUAGUUGAGAAGUUAUAUCUCACCAGGGGAGGCAUUAGUAUUUAAUUUCCAGAGGUGAAAUUCUUUGAAAUUUCUUAAGACUAACUUAUGCGAAAGCAUUUUUCUGCCAAGAAUGUUUUUAUCUUAUCGAACAGAACGAAAGUUAGGGGAUCAAAGACGAUCAGAUACCGUCCUAGUCUUAACCAUAAACUUUGCCGACUAGGGAUCGGAGGGCGUGCACAUUCCGCCUUCGGCACCUUACGAGAAAUCAUAAGUAUUUUGGGUUCUGGGGGUAGUAUGGUCGCAAGGCUGAAACUUAAAGGAAUUGACGGAAGGGCACCACCAGGAGUGGAGCUUGCGGCUCAAUUUGACUCAACACGGGAAAUCUUACCAGGUCCAGACAUAGGAAGGAAAUUGACAGAUUGAUAGCUCUUUCUUGAUUCUAUGGGUUGAUUCGGUGGUGCAUGGCCGUUCUUAGUUGGUGGAGUGAUUUGUCUGGUUAAUUCCGUUAACGAACGAGACCUCGACCUGCUAAAUAGUUUAGCCAACUCUUCUGGGUUGGAUCCUGACUUCUUAGAGGGACUAUCGGAUCGUGUAGCCGAUGGAAGUUCGAGGCAAUAACAGGUCUGUGAUGCCCUUAGAUGUUCUGGGCCGCACGCGCGCUACACUGACGCGAGCAUCGAGCUUACAACCUUGACUGAGAGGUCUGGGUAAUCUUUUCAAAACGCGUCGUGCUGGGGAUAGAUUAUUGCAAUUAUUAAUCUUAAACGAGGAAUUCCUAGUAAACGCUAGUCAUCAGCUAGCAUUGAUUACGUCCCUGCCCUUUGUACACACCGCCCGUCGCUACUACCGAUUGAAUGGCUUAGUGAGCUGCACGGAGUGCGGCACCCGGUUGGGUUUCCUUCCAGGUGCUUCGCGCGAAGUGUAACAAACUUGAUCAUUUAGAGGAAGUAAAA